ACCAGUCUCACCCCUCAACCACCCACAUUGCACACUCAUAUGUAAUGCAUUCGCUCCCUCUCUGUCUCUCUCUGGGCACUACUCAGUGGCACUCAUACGUGAGUAUAGUAAAAUAUUUAUAAAAUAUACUUUUUUUCAUGUUAGUUGUUGCAUUCAAUUCCAAAUGCAUUACACACUAAGUGGAAUUGGAAUCGGGAGAGCCCAGCCAACCAGUCUCCCUAAGUGAGGUGAGUGCAUGUGUACACAGUGUGCGGAGAUUGCAAGUCACUGGCGUCAUUACCAACAGCUCGAUUCGCCUGCAGCUCUGUGCACACACCCCCGACGCCUAGUCGGCUUUGGCAACUCAAAUCCAGUGGCUUUGAAUGAAACGAGGAAAACAAAUUUUUAAACGUUAAAGGUUUUUCCAUGUAAAAAAAUUCUAAACGCCAGGAGCGAUUAGCGUGAGAAAGCUUUAUGCAUGUAUAAUUUAGUGGGCGGCAGAGCACAAAGUGUUGCUGCUAGGUUUAACAAUAAAUUUCCGACACUGCGUUAUAAAAAUGUUUCGAAAUAUUUAUUUGAUAAAAAUAUUUGUAGUAAAGUGGAAAAACCAAUUUUUGAAGACCUUGGGAAGAGCACAUCUCCACCUUAUUAAAACUCGUCGUACAAUUCGAAUGAAUUUGAAGGCAGUGGACAAGAACUAGUCUAUUGAUUAGUUGCUUCGUCAAACUUGUUAUUAACUGCUAGGGUCCCGGUCAAUAGACUUCGACUUUGUGAGAAAUACACCCGUUUAUAUACAAGGUCUAUCGCAAAAGAAACAGAACUUUUUAAAUAUAACUGUUUCUGGUGGCGCCACCUAUUGGUGGGUAUAUAAAAUAAAAAGUUUGAUCACUUGUUCACAUUUGGUAAAAAUAUUAAGACAAUUGGAUAACUACAAUCGAGGUUAUCGAUCAAAAAGUGACAGCAGCUUUUGGUCAUCGGUCGUAAAAUAAAUUUUGAACAAAGACCAAAUAUUAAAUUUUGUUUUAAACUUGGGAAAACGUUUACUGAAACAUUUUAAAUGAUGAAAAAAGUUUAUGGUGAUCAGUGCCUAUCCCGUAGUAAUGUGCAUGAGUGGUGUAAGCGAUUCCAAGAAAGUCGUGAGGACCUCUAUGACGAUCAGAAGUCGGGC